AUACUAUGGUUUCUCUUCAGAUUGUAUAAAGCUUUCGCCUUUACUAAAGUUUUCUGUGGAGAGGCUCAUCCAUGAGUUUUCACUAUUUUUUGAGGCUCUCCCCCUUGCAGGGCU